AUGGGGGCCUGUCACCGCCGUCAAACCUUUGUCUCCCUCGCUGCACAGCAGAUUCACACACGAGCUCAACACCAUGAUCUGUCGCCCCAAUCAUCAUCCACUAUCACAUGCGAAACAAGGAGAGAAUCAGAGAGAGAUCAGAGAAACGCUAAAAAUUUCAAACACAUCAAAGGUAACAAGACACUUAGCUUUUGUUUUUCUUCGCGGUUGAUACUGUUGUGCGCUUGUCACGACGGGAUUUAG